rnacentral:rRNA from 1 species
GGGGGGGCAACUCCCCGAGUAGAGUGGCGCACGGGUGAGUAACGCGUGGGUAAUCUGCCUUCGAGUGGGGAAUAACCUCGCGAAAGCGGGGCUAAUGCCGCAUAACAUCCUCUUCUCCUCGGAGAGGGGGAUCAAAGAUAACCUCUGCAUGCAAGUCGUCGCUCGAAGAGGAGCCCGCGUCCCAUUAGCUAGUUGGUAGGGUGACGGCCUACCAAGGCGACGAUGAGUAGCCGGCCUGAGAGGGUGACCGGCCACACUGGAACUGAGACACGGCCCAGACUCCUACGGGAGGCAGCAGUGAGGAAUAUUGCGCAAUGGGCGAAAGCCUGACGCAGCGACGCCGCGUGGAGGAUGAAGGCCUUCGGGUCGUAAACUCCUGUCGAGGGAGACGAAAUGGUGCCUUGUUAAUAGCGAGGUGCCUUGGCUGUGUCCCUGGAGGAAGCCCGGCUAACUCCGUGCCAGCAGCCGCGGUAAUACGGAGGGGGCCAGCGUUGCUCGGAAUCACUGGGCGUAAAGGGCUCGUAGGCGGUCUGAUAAGUCCUGUGUGAAAUCGCUUGGCUUACCAAGGAACUGCACGGAUACUGUCGGACUAGAGGCCGGGAGAGGAACGGAAUCCCAGUGUAGCGGUGAAUGCGUAGAUAUUGGGAGGAACACCGGUGGCGAAGGCGGCUUCCUGGACCGUUCUGACACUCAGAGCAAAGCUAGGGAGCAACAGGAUAGAUACCCUGGAGUCUAGCUGUAACGAUGGCGCUUGUGUUGCGGUAUGACCCUGCAGUGCGAGCUACGCAUAACGCCCGCUGGGAGACGGCGCUGGUGAACUCAAGGAUUGCGGGG